AAUAGAUACCCGGUAGUCCACCCGUAACGUUGGAACUAGUUGUGGGGUCCAUUCCACGGAUUCCGUGACGCAGCUAACGCAUUAAGUUCCCCGCCUGGGGAGUACGGCCGCAAGGCUAAAACUCAAAGGAAUUGACGGGGACCCGCACAAGCGGCGGAGCAUGCGGAUUAAUUCGAUGCAACGCGAAGAACCUUACCAAGGCUUGACAUAUACGAGAACGCUGCAGAAAUGUAGAACUCUUUGGACACUCGUAAACAGGUGGUGCAUGGUUGUCGUCAGCUCGUGUCGUGAGAUGUUGGGUUAAGUCCCGCAACGAGCGCAACCCUCGUUCUAUGUUGCCAGCACGUAAUGGUGGGAACUCAUGGGAUACUGCCGGGGUCAACUCGGAGGAAGGUGGGGAUGACGUCAAAUCAUCAUGCCCCUUAUGUCUUGGGCUUCACGCAUGCUACAAUGGCCGGUACAAAGGGCUGCAAUACCGUAAGGUGGAGCGAAUCCCAAAAAGCCGGUCCCAGUUCGGAUUGAGGUCUGCAACUCGA
rnacentral:rRNA from 1 species